GAUUCUUUUCUAUCCACUCCAAUGCGCCCUCAAUCUCGUUAGGAAGGCUCAAAUCGCAUUGAAGAGGAUAAAGCUUGCCAGCUUGUUUAUAUCAUUGGCGAGGCCGACGACUUUGAGUCCCUUCGAUACCAAUUCCUCCACGACCGCCUUGCCGAUACCAUUGCAAGCACCGGUGACGAGAGCGAUUUUGUUUGCUACAAGAUUCAUGCUGAAGAUUUUAAGCUAGCUCACGUAACGUCGAAGCGAGAGAAAAUUGCUGCUUACUGCCACGUAAGCUUCUGCAUGCCCAUCCACAUCCUCGACAUCUCUUUAUACCACGCUGAAAGUUUGGCCCUCGAUUAGGGGGUCGCGCGUAAUCUACGAGUAUUCCAGAUUGGAACAAUACAGCUUUCUGGAUGAUGCAUUCUCGCAUUAAAAAUAGCGCAGGACUGAGGAUGCUGAUGAAAAUUUGCGCGAGGAUUUCUGAAGAAGAUGAUAAGGCGUUCCGCGAUAUCUUCAUUAGGAAUAUUGCAUCAGAAGUUUCAACGUUAAGAAUUUCUUGUGAAUCAGUCAACGACCUGUUUCAUCAAUAAAUCUGCAUGCAAAGUUUGAUGCAGUUGGAAGUGAGGAUUCGCAAGUGACCACAAGUGUUGCGUGAGAACGCGUCUCCGCUCAUUUAUUUCUUUCGCUCGUCUUACGAGCGAUUCUUUCAGUCCAUGGAUCAUCGCUUUCUACACUCAACAAUCAUUACAGAAAUCUUUUACAAUACUGAAAACAUGACGUCAAUGAAAAAUGACAACAGGCAUCAUCGUUCAAUAAGUUUCUCAUUACAGUCUCGUUGCAAUGAUAUUCAAGAAUAUGUAAGAUUUAUUAUAUUUUAUUUAAGUAAACUCUAAAUAAACUCAUAUUAAGUACAA